rnacentral:lncRNA from 1 species
CAGGCACUUCUGAAUAAACUACCUACAAUAGACAAUAUGAAAAGAAGAGGUAUCCAUCAUGUUAACCGAUGCUCCCUUUGCAUGCAACAAGAAGAAACUGUUGACCAUCUCUAUUUUGCUUGUGACUAUACUAAAUGGAUAUGGAAGGAGAUUCUCCAGCGAUUCGAACUCAAUAGAAUGCCGCAACCAAACUUGCAUCAAGAAUUAUCUGACCUCAUGCAAUGUUUUCC